rnacentral:rRNA from 1 species
GAUGAACGCUAGCGGCAGGCCUAAUACAUGCAAGUCGAGGGGCAGCGGGAAUAGCAAUAUUUGCCGGCGACCGGCGCACGGGUGCGUAACACGUAUACAAUCUGCCCAUAUCAGGGGGAUAGCCCGGAGAAAUCCGGAUUAAUACCCCAUAAUAGUCGAGGAGGCAUCUUCUUGAUUUGAAAGCUACGGCGGAUAUGGAUGAGUAUGCGUCUGAUUAGUUAGUUGGUGAGGUAACGGCUCACCAAGACCACGAUCAGUAGGGGAUCUGAGGGGAUUAACCCCCCACACGGAUACUGAGACACGGAUCCGACUCCUACGGGAGGCAGCAGUAAGGAAUAUGGACAAUGCCCGCAAGGGUGAUCCAGCCAUGCCGCGUGCAGGAAGAAGGCCCUAUGGGUCGUAAACUGCUUUUACACCGGAGAAAACCCCCUUACGUGUAAGGGGCUGAUAGUAUGGUGAGAAUAAGCAUCGGCUAACUUCGUAGCC